AAACGGCCUGUGUACGAAGCGGAUAUGCUGGGAUUCGUGAAGCCGUAUAAAUAUGAGAUGUGGCUUUUGUUGUUAACGACUAUGGCUUUGGUGUUCGGCUGCACUUUCUUGAUCCAACUCUUCCAGUUCAGCAGGCCUUUCAGAGGAGAAUCCGACGACGAAACUGAACGGACAGGAAAGGAAAAAGCAAAGAGCGUGUGGAGUGUUUUCUAUUGGACUCUCGGCGCUCUUC